rnacentral:rRNA from 1 species
CCUACGGGUGGCUGCAGUGGGGAAUAUUGGACAAUGGGGGGAACCCUGAUCCAGCCAUGCCGCGUGUGUGAAGAAGGCCCUCGGGUUGUAAAGCACUUUCAGUGAGGAAGAACGCCUGGUGGUUAAUACCCAUCAGGAAAGACAUCACUCACAGAAGAAGCACCGGCUAACUCCGUGCCAGCAGCCGCGGUAAUACGGAGGGUGCGAGCGUUAAUCGGAAUUACUGGGCGUAAAGCGCGCGUAGGUGGCUUGAUAAGCCGGUUGUGAAAGCCCCGGGCUCAACCUGGGAACGGCAUCCGGAACUGUCAAGCUAGAGUGCAGGAGAGGAAGGUAGAAUUCCCGGUGUAGCGGUGAAAUGCGUAGAGAUCAGGAGGAAUACCAGUGGCGAAGGCGGCCUUCUGGACUGACACUGACACUGAGGUGCGAAAGCGUGGGUAGCAAACAGGAUUAGAUACCCGAGUAGUC